GCCAGUGUGGCAUAGUGGUUUGAGCAUUGGACUGUGACUCUGGAGAGCAAGGUUCGAUUUCCAGCUCAGCCA
rnacentral:tRNA from 1 species